rnacentral:rRNA from 1 species
UACGGGGGGGGCAAGCGUUGUUCGGAAUUACUGGGCGUAAAGGGCUCGUAGGCGGCCAACUAAGUCAGACGUUAAAUCCCCAGGCUCAACCUGGGAACUGCGUCUGAUACUGGAUGGCUUGAAUCCGGGAGAGGGAUGCAGAAUUCCAGGUGUAGCGGUGAAAUGCGUAGAUAUCUGGAGGAAUACCGGUGGCGAAGGCGGCAUCCUGGACCGGCAUUGACGCUGAGGAGCGAAAGCUAGGGGAGCAAACGGG